ACGCACGCUGGCGGCGUGCUUAACACAUGCCAGUCGAACGGAAAGGCCCUGCUUUUGUGGGGUGCUCGAGUGGCGAACGGGUGAGUAACACGUGAGUAACCUGCCCUUGACUUUGGGAUAACUUCAGGAAACUGGGGCUAAUACCGGAUAGGAGCUCCUGCUGCAUGGUGGGGGUUGGAAAGUUUCGGCGGUUGGGGAUGGACUCGCGGCUUAUCAGCUUGUUGGUGGGGUAGUGGCUUACCAAGGCUUUGAUGGGUAGCCGGCCUGAGAGGGUGACCGGCCACAUUGGGACUGAGAUACGGCCCAGACUCCUACGGGAGGCAGCAGUGGGGAAUAUUGCACAAUGGGCGGAAGCCUGAUGCAGCAACGCCGCGUGCGGGAUGACGGCCUUCGGGUUGUAAACCGCUUUCGCCUGUGACGAAGCGUGAGUGACGGUAAUGGGUAAAGAAGCACCGGCUAACUACGUG
rnacentral:rRNA from 1 species